rnacentral:rRNA from 1 species
UACGGAGGGUGCGAGCGUUGUCCGGAAUCACUGGGCGUAAAGGGCGCGUAGGCGGCCUGAUAAGUAGGGGGUGAAAUCCUGCGGCUUAACCGCAGGGCUGCCUUCUAAACUGUCAGGCUUGAGCACAGUAGAGGCAGGUGGAAUUCCCGGUGUAGCGGUGGAAUGCGUAGAGAUCGGGAAGAACAUCAGUGGCGAAGGCGGCCUGCUGGGCUGUUGCUGACGCUGAGGCGCGAAGGCGUGGGGGAGCGAACGGG